CGAGUCUUAAUUGGGCGUUAAGUUGCAGGGUAUAGACCCGAAACCCGGUGAUCUAGCCAUGGGCAGGUUGAAGGUUGGGUAACACUAACUGGAGGACCGAACCGACUAAUGUUGAAAAAUUAGCGGAUGACCUGUGGCUGGGGGUGAAAGGCCAAUCAAACCGGGAGAUAGCUGGUUCUCCCCGAAAGCUAUUUAGGUAGCGCCUCGUGAAUUCAUCUCCGGGGGUAGAGCACUGUUUCGGCUAGGGGGCCAUCCCGGCUUACCAACCCGAUGCAAACUGCGAAUACCGGAGAAUGUUAUCACGGGAGACACACGGCGGGUGCUAACGUCCGUCGUGAAGAGGGAAACAACCCAGACCGCCAGCUAAGGUCCCAAAGUCAUGGUUAAGUGGGAAACGAUGUGGGAAGGCCCAGACAGCCAGGAUGUUGGCUUAGAAGCAGCCAUCAUUUAAAGAAAGCGUAAUAGCUCACUGGUCGAGUCGGCCUGCGCGGAAGAUGUAACGGGGCUAAACCAUGCACCGAAGCUGCGGCAGCGAACGUAUCACCCAAGACAACUUUACGGAGUUGACGAUUGACGGAGCGAAGCGACGUCAAAGCGUUCAUUAAAGUCGAGUUGGCUUAGGGAUACGUUCGUUGGGUAGGGGAGCGUUCUGUAAGCCUGUGAAGGUGUGUCGUGAGGCAUGCUGGAGGUAUCAGAAGUGCGAAUGCUGACAUAAGUAACGAUAAAGCGGGUGAAAAGCCCGCUCGCCGGAAGACCAAGGGUUCCUGUCCAACGUUAAUCGGGGCAGGGUGAGUCGACCCCUAAGGCGAGGCCGAAAGGCGUAGUCGAUGGGAAACGGGUUAAUAUUCCCGUACUUGGUGUUACUGCGAAGGGGGGACGGAGAAGGCUAUGUUGGCCGGGCGACGGUUGUCCCGGUUUAAGCGUGUAGGUGUGUGUUCCAGGUAAAUCCGGUUCACUUUAACACUGAGGCGUGACGACGAGGCACUACGGUGCUGAAGCAACAAAUGCCCUGCUUCCAGGAAAAGCCUCUAAGCAUCAGGUAACAUCAAAUCGUACCCCAAACCGACACAGGUGGUCAGGUAGA
rnacentral:rRNA from 1 species